UACGUAGGGUGCGAGCGUUGUCCGGAAUUAUUGGGCGUAAAGGGCUCGUAGGCGGUUUGUCGCGUCGGGAGUGAAAUCCACUGGCUUAACUGGUGGCUUGCUUUCGAUACGGGCAGACUGGAGGUAUGCAGGGGAGAACGGAAUUCCUGGUGUAGCGGUGAAAUGCGCAGAUAUCAGGAGGAACACCGAUGGCGAAGGCAGGUCUCUGGGCAUUAACUGACGCUGAGACGCGAAAGCGUGGGGAGCGAACAGG
rnacentral:rRNA from 1 species